GAGAAAGGCUGGGUUCAUCCUAAGAGGUGCCUCCGGGUACCCGCUCCCCCUCGGGAGGAUGGUCCGGACUUCCAGGCAGUCCCGGAACCAUGGGCUCAGGCUCGGGACCCCUGGAGUACAAAGCAGUGAUCCAAGGCUUCGGAUUUCUAAAUGUGAGGGCCGCCCAGCAGACCCCGCCUAUGGCAUGGCCCCAGACAAGAAGGGGCUCUGAGGGGCGCCAAGUCAUCUCUAAGACCCCGGGGGCCAGAGGGGAGGCUCCGGCUCUGACAAUCCACGUGACCUCUCUGGGUGUGUGUGUGGGGGGGCGGUUUGGGGCCUGGAUUAUUCUAGUCCCCCCCCCCAGCACAGCCCAAGCUGGGGUCCAUGCCUGUCCAGCGGGGGCCCAGAAGAGGAAGUGGGGACGGCUGAUUGAGAGAUGGGGAGGGGAGAAGGAGGAAGGAGGGGGGACACAGGGCUUUCGGUCAUAUGCUGCUCAUCAGUUGCCAUGACGACAGCAAGGGGGUGGGGGCACCCGGAUGGGAGGCUGCAAGAGACAUGUUGGUUCUAAAUCACAGUGACAGUACUUCAGCGGAGCUAUUACGCCGUUGCUGUGGCAACCAAUGGGAUCAAAUCGCAGAGGAAAUCUAUAAUUAUUACAAGCCAGAUACCAACGAACUUGGCGCAGUAAUCAGCUCAUUAGGGCAAUUCAACGUUAACUCCGGGAGGGAGGCGCGCCGACCCCCAGCCCCCAACUCUGGGAAGGAGAAGGCCAAAGAGACCCUGUGAGGCCGAUCUGUUGGUGCCACAGAUGGGAACCCAGAAGGCUCUCUUGGCCAAAUGAGGAAUAUAUAUUAAAUGAAACCACAUGAAAUCGCCAACAUUUUUCCAUGGAUUUGCUGUGUUAGUUUCCAACGUGCAGAGGCACUGAAUUUGACUGCGAUUACCUGCAUUCUGCCUCCACCCCCGGCUCCUCACCGUCCCACUGUUCUAGGCUUUUUACCACCCGUCCACCCCGCUAGCCACCCGCGAAUCCUCUCUGUUUCUGGUGCAUUUCCAAGUCAAUUGCAGACAUCGUGAUGUGCCUCGCCGCCGCCCCCCGCAAAUACUUUAGCCUGCGUAAAAUGAAGUAUCUUGUCAUUUUUGAACAACAAAGACAGCAAUUUCACAGGGUUCAAUCUACACAGAAGGAAGUCUGGAUUUCUGUCUGUCAUCCAUCUGCCCAUGUAUCCAUCCAUCCAUCUCUCCACUCAUCCUUCCGUCCGUCUGCCCACCCACCCGUUCCUCUUCUCCUCCAUUCGCCCAUCCACCUGUGUGUCCGUCUGUCCAUCCAUCCAUCCACCCCACCCACCCACUCACUCACCCACCCACCCACCACCCAUCCGCCCAUGCAUCCCAGGGACAGCUCUUGCACACUCGCCAUUUCCACCGGAGAUCCACCAUCCCCACAUCUUCCUGCCUGGGCCAGUAGAUACCGCCAACAGGACGUCCUACAUAGUGAGCUCAGUAGGAUCUCAACUGAAAUCAUUGUUUUUCUCCUCACACACGUGUUCCCUUCCCUAUGUGCAGCAUCUCAGUAAACAGAUGCAAUCUGUCCAAGUCGGAAACUCAAGACCCAUGGUUGGCUCCUCUAUCCUGUUACCUUCCCUCAGCACCACACUCCGGCUCUAGCCUCCACCCUCUCCUCUCUCGCUCUUGUCCUGGUUCAGGUACCCAGUUUCCUAACUGGACAGCUGCCCAGCCCCCCAGGGGCCACCUCACCCUCCCUCUGCUCUGUCCAUGCUGACCUCCCAUUGCAAACUAUCUGGCCACACUGACAGUAUGGGGGGAACGAGCACCUCAUACAUGGCCGGUGGGGCUACACAUCUACACACAUACCUUGGAGAGCCUUUUCAUCAAAAUCUGUACAUUUUUAAAUGCACUAACUGCUUUUUCUCUCAGCAUCAUUCUACUUGAAAGAAUUUGCCUCACUGAUAGAAAUGGAAAGCAACCCAAAUGUCCAGCACCGGCAACUGGCUAAAUAAAUUCCGGCACACCUGUAAUAUAGAAUACUAUUCAGCUGAUAAAAAGAACGAGGUAGCACUUUAUGCACAGACGAGAGAAAGUGUUCAACCCAUGAAGUUAAAAAACGUUGCAAUAAGGCAUGUAUGGGGCGAGGUCUCCUGUGUCCCCGGAAGAUUCUAUAUUUGGGCACCAGGUUGGCUUGAGACAUAAGUGGGUGCCACUGUGUCCAGGGAGCAUGGCUUCAUGAACUGCCUCUCACAAAUGACAGCAUUGCUCUCCACCAGGCUGGAGACCAAGGGGCACGGGGCUGCCUUUCCUGCCCUUCCUGUCUGCCUCAGUAGCACACAGCACUUCUCUUCUUUACCAGGCAAGGUUGCCCUACAGGCUGCUGGGCUGUAUUAGGUGUUGGCCUUCUCUCUGGUCCAGGGGACACGUGGGGACACCAUCUGACCAGAGGGGACAUGAGACUGAAACCUGCCUCUGGAAAACUUGGCAAGUUUUGGAAAGCACGAGGUUCACAGGCGAACACCUGAUUUCCGAUUCCUGCUCAGACCCUAAAGGGCUCUUGUGCCUCUGUCUCUCCAGCUCUAUGAUGCGCUGACUACACCUCCUGGGGUCAUUCUGAAGGUCAAAUGUGGCAACAGGGGUGAAGACAGUGUGCCGAGGUCAGCUUGCUGAACCACUGAGAGGUAGUUAUGAAUUCGUCUUCAGGACCCAUUUAGCCACCUCGGAAUGCUAAGCCCAGCACAUGUUUCUGUCUGGGCACCUGUCCUGUGCUGAGGACACAGCUCAGCCCUUCAUAUACACGGUUUCACGUAAGCUUCAAAGCUCUUUGGUGGUAGGAAUUUUCGCUCCCACUUUGCAGAUGAGAAAGCCAAAGUGCACAGAGGUUAAGGGGCUCCCUAGGAGCACAGAGAGCUCUGGUGCUAACCAGAUAAGCCCCUAAAUCUUUCUUCCUUUUUUUU